rnacentral:rRNA from 1 species
UACGUAGGGGGCGAGCGUUAUCCGGAAUUAUUGGGCGUAAAGAGUGCGUAGGUGGUUACCUAAGCAGGGGGUUUAAGGCUAUGGCUUAACCAUAGUUCGCCCCCUGAACUGGGCUACUUGAGUGCAGGAGAGGAAAGCGGAAUUCCUAGUGUAGCGGUGAAAUGCGUAGAUAUUAGGAGGAACACCAGUGGCGAAGGCGGCUUUCUGGACUGUAACUGACACUGAGGCACGAAAGCGUGGGGAGCAAACAGG